ACGGAUGCGAAUAUCGAGAUGCGGUUUUCGCCAAAGUAUUUCUAAUUUUUGAAGUAUGGAUGAGUUCGAAGAUGGGCAUUGUAGGUAUUAAGGUCACGGCGCCAUGGCGACGACGCCGUGUCGAAUAGGUGUCGAAUUUUUUGUUUCGACGGUUUUAGACGUAUUUUGGGAUGGGGAUUUCGAAAAUCGACAUCAUUUUGACGAACGAUGACCGUGUGACCGUGUAGACGACGCCACUUGAAUUAUGCCAUGUGGGGUGUCUAUCGAAAGGUAUAGUCGUGUACGUUCAAAGUACGCGGGAGUUAUGUCGAAACGGGGCGAAAUGAGACGUGGGGUAAUGUGAGAUAAUUGGGGAAAAUGACGGGAAGGUAUUGGAAGACGAUGUGGGUGUGCCACAAGGACAUUUACGUGUGUUUUCACCCAUUUGCUACAUUUCGUUUGCAACGGUUUAUUCAUUAAAAAAAUGAAUUAACGGAUUUGAUUGUCUUUUAAAAAUGUACGGAUCAUUAUCCGAUCCGAUCGGAUAUCCGUCGGAUUACUCGGAUUCGGAUCGGAUCGGCCCUAAUAUCCGAUCGGAUUAUCCGACAUGAUGAAAUAUCCGAUCCGAUGGACUGUCUAUCCGAUCCGAUCCGAUCCGAUCCGAUGGACUGUCUAUCCGAUCCGAUGGACUGUCUAUCCGAUCCGAUCCGAUCCGAUCCGUCGGAUAACCAACCCUAGUCUUGAUCUUGACUGUUCUUAACUAUUACAUAUUUACAUAAGAUUUUAGAAUUACACAGGUAAACAUGUGAGAAAUUAUUUUAAGAUAGUUCUUGAAACUCAUGGUACUAUUUUAGUUCAGGACCACGUCCCACUAGGGGCUUUGAAUAUUUCAAAAAUGAGUUUUUUUACAUAGUGUCAAGUUGACACUGUCAACCCAUAUGGAGAGUUUUCCGAAGUUGCACCUACUAAUAAAAAUUUGUUCCGCUGUUGGGAGCACAAUUUUAAAUUUUAGUUAACAUGUAUUAAAAUUAACUUUCAGCUAUCAGCUAAAUAUGAUGAAAUUUCGUAAUAAUUUCAAAUUUGUAACAUUUUCUAAGUCAGCUGAUUUGUGGCCUCAAGCAACAAAAUUGAACUAUCCAUUAUGGGGUGUGUGGCAUGUUUAGGCACCAAUUACAUUAAAUAGCUAAGGGUUGGAUAAUAAACAUAUGCAAACUGUUUCGAACGUCCUUCACUGUUCGUGCUACUGCAGUGAUUUGUAUCGACCUGUCCAAAACCUUAGUGUACGCUCUUUAUUUAUAAUUAUAUAAAUUAUUAUAAAAUAAUUUAAUAUAUUGAUUUGUGAUCUCUGUAACCAUGCAUGUGCAUAGUCAGCAAACAAUUUUACACAUCCCACAAUUGAAUUUACGUGAUAUGAUUUCUAGUUUAUCGAUAAUACUUUGCCUGACGAAGAACAACGACUGUACUAUCCUUUUACUUAGGCGUGUCACCUCAUUUGCAUAAAUCUCACUAUGCCCAUUUUCGGCGAUACGGGCUUUCCAUGUUGAAUAAACUCUAUGUCUCUCGCGAAUGUGUCAAAAUAUGCAAAUAAGGUGACCGGCUAUAAUAAAUCCACAAUAUGUGUUCGAUAGUUUGCAAGAUAAUAAAUAUUAUCAAUUAAUAUGUCCUCCAACAACGAUUUAAAUCAUUCAAAUUUAAUAUAGUAUUUUUUAACCAAAAUCCGGAUCAAGGCUGAGCAUAAAAUUGCGAAAUAAAGAAGUGGAGA